AUUGAACGCUAGCGGGAUGCCUUACACAUGCAAGUCGAACGGAAUGGCGAACGGGUGAGGAAUGUAUCGGAACGUGCCCAGUGGUGGGGGAUAACUAAGCGAAAGCGUAGCUAAUACCGCAUACUAUAGGAGCGGCCGAGAUCGGAUUAGCUAGUUGGUGGGGGAACGGCUCACCCAGGCGACGAUCCGUAGCUGGUUUGAGAGGACGACCAGCCACACUGGGACUGAGACACGGCCCAGACUCCUACGGGAGGCAGCAGUGGGGAAUUUUGGACAAUGGGGGAAACCCUGAUCCAGCCAUCCCGCGUGUGCGAUGAAGGCCUUCGGGUUGUAAAGCACUUUUGGCAGGAAAGCGGUACCUGCAGAAUAAGCACCGGCUAACUACGUGCCAGCAGCCGCGGUAAUAC
rnacentral:rRNA from 1 species